rnacentral:rRNA from 1 species
GUGGGGAAUCUUCCGCAAUGGACGAAAGUCUGACGGAGCAACGCCGCGUGAGUGAAGAAGGUUUUCGGAUCGUAAAGCUCUUUCGUUAGGGACGAACGUGCUCUUUGUGAAUAAUGAGGAGUAAUGACGGUACCUAAAUAAGAAGCCACGGCUAACUACGUGCCAGCAGCCGCGGUAAUACGUAGGUGGCAAGCGUUGUCCGGAAUUAUUGGGCGUAAAGCGCGCGCAGGCGGGAUAUCAAGUCUGUCUUAAAAGUGCGAGGCUCAACUUCGUGAGGGGACAGAAACUGGUAUUCUUGAGUGUCGGAGAGGAAAGUGGAAUUCCAAGUGUAGCGGUGAAAUGCGUAGAGAUUUGGAAGAACACCAGUGGCGAAGGCGACUUUCUGGACGAUGUCUGACGCUGAGGCGCGAAAGCUAGGGGAGCGAACGGGAUUAGAAACCCGGGUAGUCC